AGUGAACGCUGGCGGCAGGCCUAAUACAUGCAAGUCGAACGGCAGCACAGCAGAGCUUGCUCUGUGGGUGGCGAGUGGCGGACGGGUGAGGAAUACGUGGGAAUCUGCCCAGUCGUGGGGAUAACGUAGGGAAACUUACGCUAAUACCGCAUGCGCCCUUCGGGGGAAAGCCGGGGGACCUUCGGGCCUGGCGCGAUUGGAUGAGCCCACGUCGGAUUAGCUAGUUGGCGGGUAAAGGCCCACCAAGGCGACGAUCCGUAGUUGGUCUGAGAGGAUGAUCAGCCACACUGGAACUGAGACACGGUCCAGACUCCUACGGGAGGCAGCAGUAGGGAAUAUUGGACAAUGGGCGCAAGCCUGAUCCAGCCAUGCCGCGUGAGUGAAGAAGGCCCUCGGGUUGUAAAGCUCUUUGUCCGGAAAGAAAGCGACCGGGUUAAUACCCUGGUGUCCUGACGGUACCGGAAGAAUAAGCACCGGCUAACUUCGUGCCAGCAGCCGCGGUAAU
rnacentral:rRNA from 1 species